GACGAACCGUGCGAACGUUGUUCGGAAUCACUGGGCUUAAAGGGCGCGUAGGCGGCUGCGCAAGUCCGGGGUGAAAGCUCCCAGCUCAACUGGGGAAGUGCCUUGGAUACUGUGCAACUCGAGCGAGGCAGGGGUAGUGGGAACUUCCGGUGGAGCGGUGAAAUGCGUUGAUAUCGGAAGGAACGCCGGUGGCGAAAGCGCACUACUGGUCCUCUUCUGACGCUGAGGCGCGAAAGCCAGGGGAGCAAACGGG
rnacentral:rRNA from 1 species